GGGGGCGCACUGGUUUCGACGUGGAUAUGGAAACCGGAGUUGCAGGCCGAGGCGCCGCUGGCCUCGUAAAAAGCGGCAAAACAGUAAUUGCCAACAACGAUUACGACU
rnacentral:tmRNA from 1 species